rfam:Mesorhizobium sp. LC103 LC103_contig11, whole genome shotgun sequence.
CCGUGGGCCACCCCUCCCCAACGAGGGGCGUGCUAUCUGAAAGGGUAGAACCA